GCACAGGAGUUAGUUUGUUGGAAUGUUAGGGGUCUCAAUAGCCCUGCUAAGAAGAAAGCCUUGAGGGAGUUCGUUGACACCAUUCAUGUCGUGAUAAUAUGUAUUCUCGAAACUAAGCUUGAGAGAGUUGACCAAUAUGUGAUAAUGCAAUGUUUAGGUCCAUCUUAUGAUGGAUUUGCUUACCUCCCGGCUUCGGAGACUAGGGGUGGCAUUUUUGUGGGGUGG
rnacentral:rRNA from 1 species